CAGUAGCCACGGGAAUACGGAGGGUGCAAGCGUUAAUCGGAAUUACUGGGCGUAAAGCGCACGCAGGCGGUCUGUCAAGUCAGAUGUGAAAUCCCCGGGCUUAACCUGGGAACUGCAUUUGAAACUGGCAGGCUAGAGUCUUGUAGAGGGGGGUAGAAUUCCAGGUGUAGCGGUGAAAUGCGUAGAGAUCUGGAGGAAUACCGGUGGCGAAGGCGGCCCCCUGGACAAAGACUGACGCUCAGGUGCGAAAGCGUGGGGAGCAAACAGGAUUAGAUACCCGCGUAGUCCCUGUCUCUUAUAA
rnacentral:rRNA from 1 species